UUAAGAAACAAAGAGCGCACGGUGGAUGCCUUGGCACUAAUAGGCGAAGAAGGACGCGACUAACAGCGAAAUGCUACGGGGAGCAGUAAGUACGCAGAGAUCCGUAGAUGUCCGAAUGGGGGAACCCACUAGUUUGAAGAACUAGUAUCAUAUAGUGAAUACAUAGCUAUAUGAGGCAAACCUGGAGAAUUGAAACAUCUUAGUACCCAGAGGAAAAGAAAAUAAAUAAUGAUUCCCUAAGUAGAGGCGAUUGAAAGGGGAAGAGCCCAGCACCAUCAAGAGUUACAAAAUCUUUUUAUAGUAGAAUUGUAUUGGAAAAGCAAGUCAAAGAAGGUGAAAGCCCUGUAUACGAAAUAAAGAGAUCUCGGUGUGAGAGUAGGGCGGAGCACGUGAAAUUCUGUCUGAAUAUGCGAGGACCAUCUCGUAAGGCUAAAUACUCAUUAGUGACCGAUAGUGAACCAGUACUGUGAAGGAAAGGUGAAAAGAACCCCUGGCGGGGAGUGAAAAGAACCUGAAACCGUGUGCUUACAAACAGUUAGAGCCCAUCAAUGGGUGAUAGCGUGCCUUUUGUAGAAUGAGCCGGCGAGUUACGUUAAUUUGCAAGGUUAAGCUUUUAGGAGUGGAGCCGUAGCGAAAGCAAGUCUUAAUAGGGCGAAUAAGUAGAUUGACGUAUACCCGAAACCGGGUGAUCUAGCCAUGAGCAGGUUGAAGCUUGGGUAAAACCAGGUGGAGGACCGAACCAGGGUCUGUUGAAAAAGACUUGGAUGACUUGUGGCUAGGGGUGAAAUUCCAAUCGAACCCGGAGAUAGCUGGUUCUCCCCGAAAUAGCUUUAGGGCUAGCGUUGUGAGAAGAGUUAUACGAAGGUAGAGCACUGAAUGGGUGAGGGCCGCACCUCGCGGUACCAAUCUCAAUCAAACUCCGAAUGUCGUAUAAUAUGCGCAGCAGUAAGACUAUGGGUGAUAAGGUCCAUGGUCAAAAGGGAAACAGCCCAGACCGCCAGUUAAGGUCCCAAAAUUAUGCUAAGUGGGAAAGGAGGUGGAGUCGCUUAAACAACUAGGAGGUUGGCUCAGAAGCAGCCAUCCUUUAAAGAGUGCGUAAUAGCUCACUAGUCGAGUGAUUCUGCGCCGAAAAUGUAUCGGGGCUAAGCAUAAUACCGAAGCUGCGGGAUUAGAUGAAGAAUCUAAUCGGUAGGGGAGCGUACUAAGUGCGUAGAAGGUUGACCGGAAGGGCAGCUGGAGCGCUUAGCAGUGAGUAUGCCGGUGUGAGUAGCGAUAAGAUGGGUGAGAAUCCCAUCCGUCGAAAGCCUAAGGUUUCCAGGGGUAAGGCUCGUCCUCCCUGGGUAAGUCGGGUCCUAAGGUGAGGCUGAGAAGCGUAGCUGAUGGACAUCAGGUUGAUAUUCCUGAACCACCAUAAAACUGAAGGAAUGACGGAGGAGGCUAAUCAGAGCUGAUUAAUGGAUUUCAGUUUAAGUACAAAGAGGGUUACGUAGGCAAAUCCGCGUAGCAAAACCUUGAAGUAUGAUGACGUAAGUCUGGUGAAGCCACACUUCCAAGAAAAGUUUCUAGGUGUAUUUUAUGGUGCCCGUACCGUAAACGGACACACGUAGGCGAGGAGAGAAUCCAAAGACGCGCGAGAUAAUUCUUGUUAAGGAACUCUGCAAAAUUACUCUGUAACUUCGGAAUAAAGAGGGCUCCCGUGAGGGAGACGCAGAAAAUAGGCCCAAGCGACUGUUUAACAAAAACAUAGGUUUCUGCUAAAGCGUAAGCUGAUGUAUAGGAGCUGACGCCUGCCCAGUGCUGGAAGGUUAAGAGGAGAAGUUAGUCGCAAGGCGAAGUUUUGAAUUGAAGCCCCAGUAAACGGCGGCCGUAACUAUAACGGUCCUAAGGUAGCGAAAUUCCUUGUCAGGUAAGUUCUGACCCGCACGAAAGGCGUAACGAUUUGGGCGCUGUCUCAACAAGAAACUCGGUGAAAUCAUAGUACCUGUGAAGAUGCAGGUUACCCGCGAUCAGACGGAAAGACCCCAUGGAGCUUCACUGCAACUUAAUAUUGAUAUUGGGUGUGUGAUGUACAGGAUAGGUGGGAGACAAAGAAGCGAGUACGCUAGUAUUCGUGGAGUCAACCUUGGGAUACCACCCCUCGCACAUUUAGUAUCUAACUAGUUUCCAUAAGCUGGGAAUAGAACAGUGUUAGGUGGGCAGUUUGACUGGGGCGGUCGCCUCCCAAAGAGUAA
rnacentral:rRNA from 1 species